rnacentral:rRNA from 1 species
GACGAACGCUGGCGGCGUGCUUAACACAUGCAAGUCGAGCGGUAAGGCCUCUUCGGGGGUACACGAGCGGCGAACGGGUGAGUAACACGUGAGUAAUCUGCCCUUCACUUCGGGAUAACCACCGGAAACGGUGGCUAAUACCGGAUAUGACCACGUACUGCAUGGUGUGUGGUGGAAAGUUCUGGCGGUGGAGGAUGUGCUCGCGGCCUAUCAGCUUGUUGGUGAGGUAAUGGCUCACCAAGGCUUCGACGGGUAGCCGGCCUGAGAGGGUGACCGGCCACACUGGGACUGAGACACGGCCCAGACUCCUACGGGAGGCAGCAGUGGGGAAUAUUGGACAAUGGGCGAAAGCCUGAUCCAGCAACGCCGCGUGAGGGAUGACUGCCUUCGGGUUGUAAACCUCUUUCAGUACCGACGAAGCGAGAGUGACGGUAGGUACAGAAGAAGCACCGGCCAACUUCGUGCCAGCCGCCGCAGUAACAC